GUGCCCGGGUUUAGAGAUGCCACCGGAGGUGGCGGUAAUGUGCCCUCUUACUGCCCCCCUCACUGGAUUCCCCUUUAAAGGCAUCACCCCUUGAACCAGGUUGAACAGGUCCAUAAAAGACCAGGCCCAGUUUGGUUGAAACUUGGACAGGGCUGCCUGUUUUUUGAGGCCAGUUCAGUUCGAAUGCAAACUGGUUGAAUUGGGCUGGUUCAAAUCAGACCCAGUUCAGAUCGAACCAGUUCUGCACAUCCCAAUACAUGGAAUUAUCCCCCCUGCACCCGAGGCUUAGAUCCUUUGAGUUUGCUGUCAUAAGGUGAUGUAAUGCCAGAUUUGCACUGAGGGAGUGUGGAGCAGCAUUCAUGGGACUUCUGAGUGGCCUUCUGUCCAGAUUCGGAGUCUGCAGUUAUAUCGAGAGUUGCUGGAACCUGUACUGCUGCCAUUAAUACUUGUUGGCAGAUGAUUAAUAAGGGAAUUUUAUUGUUUUAAUUUACAAUAUCUAUUUUAUUGAUAUUGAUGCAUUGUAUUUUAACUAAUCUUUUUAACUUUAUGUGCUGGUUUUUUGUUUUGUUUUGUUUUUAUAU